rnacentral:antisense_RNA from 1 species
AUCUCCUCUUCAUCGCAUCUUUUCAAGCCAGUCUCGUUUUGAGAAAGGAGACGACUAGACCAGGCCAGCCUGGAAUCCCCGGUAUUCCGCGUGCGCAGUGCGGCUCAUGCUACGGUGAACAUCCCAUGCCUUGCACAGCAUGCAGAGCGCUGAACCUAAGGACCGAACUACUUGGUGACUAGUGCUUCAGUCGUCCAUCCGGUCAGGAAAAAUUUAGUACUUCCGGGUCACAGACAAAGGCCACAGUCAAGUUGUGGCGUCAUCUUUGAACUUGGCUUACCAGUGUGUGCAUUGCUUUCGGCCUUCACGAUAAACCUGUCUGAGAAGAUUCAGUGCUGGUUUCCCUAUCACUCCCUGUUUCACCUUGAGAAAAGCCUCCUGGUUCCAGGAAACUGAGUCGCCACGAGCCUUCUUCAGGGUAGCUUUCCGGCUCUGGUUUCCUCAUCUGGAACCCUCUGCAGUGUGCUUUGCCAGAUGCUUGUCAAGACUAAUGCAGCUGAUGAGAUGCUUGCUCUUUUCUGCUCAAGUUUGAGUGUUCGAGGCCAGUAGCCUCCUGACUGAUUGACUGACUAAUCAAGAUGCAGAAAAGGCAAGGGUAUUGCAGCUAUUGCCGUGUGCAGUAUACUAACCUGGAACAGCACUUGUUUAGUUCUCAGCACAGAAGCCUGACCAGACAGAGCAGACGUCGGACAGCUACUAAUAACACUCUGAUGGAACGCUUUUUGCAGGAUGUUCUGCGACACCACCCAUAUAAUUACCAAGACAACAGAUCUGCACCAAAUGAGCCAGAGGCGGCGGCAGCAGCGGCAGCAGCAGCAGAUCCUGGAUCACCUGAAGUGGUGGUGGUUUUGGAUGAUUCUGAUGAGAAGGAGGAUGAUACUGCAGAUAGCGGUGCAGAGAGGAACUCCGAGGAUUCAGGAUCUGUUGAAGAGAUAGAUUAUAGACCUGGUACUUCUCAGGAACACGCAGAAGUUGCAGUUCGACCAUCAGUUAUUCAAAAACUGGAACGGGGACAGCAGCAGUCCUUGGAAUUGGCUCAUAAAGUUGAGAGUGGUGUGAAAAAAGUUAAUUCAGUCGGUGUUGUUCAGGCUACAACUAGUGGAAAAAAGUUAGUGCGUCCCCCUGUGAUUUGUAAUGCUCCUGCCAGCUCUUUGCCUAGCGGCUCUUUCGAGAGACCAGUUGCGGCUAACAGUGUUCCUCGGUUAGUACUGGCAGUUGCUUCAGAUUCUUUUCCAGCUUGUGACACAGAGAACCUUGAAACAUACUUUGACUCCCCAGAUCAGGGCCCUAGCAACCCAUCAUCUCAACCCAAAACUAAAGACCCAAAAAAGAAACUAAGUAUAAAUUUAGACAAAUUGCUUGCACAGAGAAAUCUUAGGGCUAAGGGUGCGUCUUUUUCCCCUGUCGUACGAGUCCGUGAGCUAACAGGUUCUGAGCUUUGUUCUGUAAGAGCUGAGUCUUCUGAGUUAGAGGCAGGUACAGCAGGAAACCCGAGGGAGACUGACACACUACCAGAACAAGCACGUGAAGGUGCCAUUCCAAAGCGUCGUGAGGCAUCUCGUUCAAAUACAGUUCGUCCCCAAGAAGAAACACGUUUGGUUCUUAACAAGCCAACACUUCUGAAACAGAAGCGCUCAGUGAGUUCUGAAGAGAGGUUCAGUUGUGGGUCUCGUCAGGCAGUACCUGGUCCUUCCCAAGCUGCUGUACGUGACUUAAGUCUUUUGGAGGAGGAAGUGGAGGAGGAGAAGCAGGAAGAAGAGGAAGAGGAGGAGCAGGAAGAAGAGGAGGAGCAUGAAGAGGAGGAGGAGGGAGUUGACCAAGAAGAUGCGAGUUAUGAAUCUAGAGGUUCUGACAUGAGUUUUGAUUGUGGGUCCUCUUGUCAGUCGCUGAGUGCCCUAUCUGAACUGACCGCCAGAGAAAUAAAUGUAUCAGAAGAAACACAUGCUUAUUCUCAGCCUAGGAAUGAAACACCCACUGUUUCUGGAGCAACUUCAGAUAAUGGUAGCAGUUCUCGUCAGGUGAUUACACAGAACAUACAGCUCAUUAGUCUGGUUGAUGAAAGCUAUGAGUCUAGUGGCUCUGAAGUGAAUUUUGAUGGUGAUGACUCACUACCGUCAACUAGUCACCGUCCCCCACAGCCCGUGGAAGUAGUAGUGCCCCUUCGUUUGGUUGACAAGAGCUAUGGAAGUGGUAGCUCUGAACCAUGUGAGGAUUCCGGGUCCUCAGCUGAUGAGACUCCAGCAGCAUCAAGACAGCAGAAUCCUGUGAGGAACACCCAUGCAAACCUGGUUGAUGAGAACUACGGGUCAAGUAGUUUCAGCUCUGACAGUGAUGCAGCUCUGGACCAUCCCCAGGUGCCUGUUCAAGAAGGAAGCCCCAGAGGCAGAGCUGUCGGACAGGGAAAUGAAGAGCAGCCCAGUAGUGCUGAAGCACAUCCUGAACGUGAUGGUUCUCUUGAGACAGUGGCUCAUGAACUCCAGAGAGAAUCACAAGAAAUAAACCUUCCGAACCAGAAGAAUACCAGCCUUGGGGAUAUGAACUGUGAGUCUCAUGGUCCUGAAGUGGGUUUUCAUGCUGAUGCUCAAUUAGAGGCUGAUCAAUCUCCAGUAAACCCUGAGGAAGUAGAUCUUGACCUAGAAAAUCAGAGUGUUCACUCUGGCAUUUCUAACCUAAGUUUUGAUUCCAAUGCUUCUUAUCAGUCAGCUAAUGAUCAACCUCAAGGGGCUUGGGGUGAAGUAAAUCUCGAUGAGUUAAAUGUCGACAUGGAAGUUAAGAGCAAUGGCUGCUCCAGUUCUGAGUUGACAUUUGAUUCCGAUUCCCCUCUUCUGUCAGUUACUGAGCGGUCUCUGCUGGAUUUUGAAGGAUUAAACGAAGAUGACUUUAACCUGGAAGAUGAAAACUGUGUGUCAAGUAGUUCUGACAUAACUUUUGAUUCUGAUAUUCCCGAUGACUCAGUAGCUGACCAACCUCAAGUAGCUGUUUAUGAGGAGGAACCUGUUGGUCUGGAAAAUAAGAGUAAUGAAUCUUGUGUUUCUGGAAUAACAUUUGAUUCUGAUAUUCCUCUUCAUUCAGGAAAUGAUCACCCUGAAGUAGCUGUUAAAGAAGUAAUCAUUAAGGAAGACGAAAACGUUCACUUAGAAGGGAAGAAUGACAAUCCCAGUGGUUCUGAAAUAUGUUUGGAUUCUAAUGUCCCUCUUCAUUCAGUGACUAAUUCUGAUGUAGCUGUUAAAAAGAUAAAUCCCCCCAAAGAAGAUCAGGUACAAAUAGAACAAAUUGAACAAAAGGAAAAUGAACCUACUGAUUCUGAAUUAAAUUUGGAUUGUAACUCUGUUAAUUCAAAGCCCGGAUGUUCUGAAGAUCCCAUUAUAUUACGUGUUUCUGAAACAAGAUUGGAUUCUCAUGUCCCCUUUCAGUCAGUUAUUCGCAAAUGUGAAGUAGUUGUCAAAAAUGUCUGUCUUCAAAAAGAAAAGCAUGCUGAGUUAACAAGUAAAAGCACGGAAUCUCAUUCUGAAGUAAGUUCAGCUUCUACUGCUUCUCACCCAGUGACAGAACCUUAUGUAGGUAAAAAGGCAAAGAGAAAGACAAAGCAUCUUGAGGAAGUCAACAGUGAUGAUGAAUAUGGUGGCUCUCAACCAACUUUCAAGUUUGAUGUUUUUCCUCGGACAAUGACUGAAAAACCUCAACCAGCUGCUUUGAAAGAGGGCCAUGCUGACCCAAAAGAUAAAAUUACUGAGCUUAGAGGGAUGGCCGUAAAUGUGAAUACUGCUGAUUGUCUUGAUUCAGUCCUUAGCCAGCCUCAGUUAGCCUCAAACGAAAACUGUGUUGAACUGAAAGACACCGAUGGCAAACCCAGUGACUCUAAAGCAAGUGCUGAUUCUACUGGCCAUUUUCACUCCCUGCCUAAACAAGAGUUCGAUGUGGUUUCAAAAAUGAACGAGUGGAAAAAAGAGGCAAAGGUUCUUGAACAGAAGAUCAGUGAUCUUAUUUAUUCAAAAAUAAUACAUGACUCUAAUGUUUCUUUUCGUUCUGCAAUGGAUCAACUUGAACUAGCUCUUAAACAAAUAAGUCUUGGUAAUAAUGACCAAGUGUCCUUGGAAGAUAACAGCCAAGAUACAUGUUCUGAGACAAAUUUGGAUUCUGGUUUCUCAGUCCAGGCAGUAGUUGAACCACCUGAACCUGAAGUAACUGUUUUGGAGCCUGAACAUGUUGAACAAGAAGGUAGAAAUAACGUGCCUUGUGAUUCUGAAGUAAGCGUUGAUGCUAAUGGCUCUGUCCAGUUAGAGGCUGGUCAGCAUAGUGAAAGUGGUGAAAACAGAAGUCAGAAGGAUACAGAUGACACAGAAGGUAAGAGGGAUGAUGCUCAGGGUUUUGGAAUUACAUGUGAUUCCAAUGUCCCCCAGCCAUUGGCCGGCCACAUUGAAGUAGUUCAGGACAUUGACCAUUGGAAGGAUCAUGUUGACUUGGAAGAUAAGCUUGGUGAAUCUAAAAACUCAAAAGUAAACUUUCAUUCUGAUGAACCACUUCAGGCUGUGACUAACGCAACACAAGAGCCUGUUGAAGAAAUAAAUUUACCGAGGGGACGUGCUAGUCCAAAUGGUAAUGGCUGUGAGCCCUAUGGCUCUACAAUAGUUCCUGUUACGAAUGUCAUUUUUUGCUCAGUGAUUCAAAAACCACAACGUUUGCAAAAAAAGUGUACCAGUUUGAAAGAAAACAGCAGCAAUCCUUGUCCUGAAGUAAAUGUUGAUUCCUGUGAUGGUCCUGAAGUGAGUGUUGAUUCUAAUGAUCCCUGUCAGUCAGUAGCAGGCCACCUUCAAAAACCUGACAAGGAAAUGAAUCUGAAGGAAGACCAUAUUUACCUGGAAGAUAAGAGCUACAAGCUAGUUGACUUUGAACCAACUUAUGAUUCUGACGAUCCUGUUCAGUUUGUGACAGUUCCAUCUGUAGAGGCUGUGUCUAUCAAAGAAGUAAACUUGCAAAAGGAGAAUCCUGAUGACCUAGAAAAUGAGAACUUUCAGCCAUGUUGUUCUGAAGUAGCAUGUAAUUCUGCUGUUCAUCUGCAGUCAGAAGCUGACCCACCUCAAGUGGCUUGCAAAGAAGCAGACCUUGACAAGAAAGCGCUUGACAUAGAAGACAAGGGCAGUGUAACUUGUGUGCCUGAAGUGGUGUAUGAUUCUGACGUCUCUUUUCAGAUAGUAGUUAACCAGGUUCAGACAUCAGAUGGAGAAACAGACUCACCACAGGUGGUGUUUGUGGAUGUUGUGUCCAGUGAUAGUGACUGUGACCGGGAAGUAAUUUCUGAUUCAAAUAUCCCUCUUCAGCUAGAGCCACCUCAGAUGACUGUCAAAGAAACCAGUGAUAUAAACACAGAUUCUCUUGGUUCUGCAGCAAACGAAAAGUACUAUUGUAAAUUCUGUGGUUGUGAUUAUGAAGCCUCUCAGUCAGUGACAAACCAAUCCAAGGAAAGUUUUAAAAUAAUAAACAGGAAAAAUGACUAUAUUAUCCUAGGCGAUUCUACUUGUCCAUCUUGUGGUCAUGAACUCAAUUUCAAUGUUGAUCCUUCUGAUCAGCCCACUACCUGCCAGUUACAACAGCCUGAUCGUAAUUUUAUUGACCCAGAAGAUAAGAACUUUGGAUCUAAAUGUCCUAAAAGAAAAUUAAAUUGGGAAGAUACUGCUCAUCCAGUGACUCACCAACUACAGAAAACUGGAGAAGCCACCAGUCUUCGGAAAGAUCAAAAAAAUAGAUUCAAAAGAGAUAGGGGCUGGGAAUCCAGUAGUUUUGCAGGAGACCAUGCUGCCUAUGCUGUGUCAGUGAUUCGCCAAACAGCUUUGAACUCCUGUGGAUCUGAGCUAAACUUUCAAGAUGAUACCUUCUAUCACUCUGACAUUGACCCACCUCAACCUAAGAAAAAAGGCCAGGGUAAGAAAGUGACUUUUGACUUGAGAGUAACUAAGUAUGAAUAUCCACCAAACCCAAUGUACGGGGAAGGAGAAGAGGUUGCAGAAGAUGAUCUUAAGGAAGUAGUAGUUCAUGAAGCCUCACCUCAGGGUCAGGCUCCUCCAUCAAUUGUUGGAAAAACAUGUCCUCAGGGGAGAGAAGAUGAUGUGAAGACAAACACACAGGCAUGUCAAGGUUAUUUCUAUAGUUACUAUGAUGGUGGCUCUGAGACCAAGAAAAUUCUUUUGGGUGAAGAAGAAAAGACCAUUAGGUCUGACCUUAAUCAGAACACCACAUCAAUUCAACAUGUUAAAGGUAAAGUUGGAGACACUGGUGACUUUUCAGUGGACUUAGGUAAACAGUCUUGUUCCUUAGCAGAGGGGCUUCAUCAGCAACAUGGGCAGGUGACUUCUCAGAACCAAGUAGAAGUGAGAUGUGGAAUUCAAGCAAGUUCUGGGAAGAAAAGGAAAAUUACAGAACAAGAAGAGGACUCACCAAAGAGGAAGUGUUUCCACCAUGAUAGCCAGAAGAAGAAAAAGGCUCAAGCUGGGAUAACUGAGCUACCUGAACCACAAACUAAAGUUUUAGAGCCUGUACAGCCCGAUUCCUUGGUCUAUAUUUUUUCUUCUCUAAGUAUGAAGGAAGAUCAGUCUUUGAAUCCACCUAAAACAAAGCCUGGCAGUGACAGUGAUUUGCCACAUAUAUACAGUUGUAGAGAACACACCUCUUCUGGCCCACGACGUAAGAGAACUGUAAUUAAUCCUCCACAGAACCUAAUGGUACCAGAAGUUGGCAUUGAUCUUAAUAGGCAUGACCCAAAGCCCAAUGCAGGAGACGAUAGUGCCAAAAGACAAAACCUGGUUUCAACAUCUUUUAUGGCAAUGCCGAAAAAAUCUGUGUUAAAGUUCCAGAGGACCAAUCAAUCUUCAUUUCUAAAAAAAUCAGAAGAUGUGGGUGCUACUCAAGUUCCAAAGGAUAAUUUCCAGCAGACUCUUGUAAAUCGUGAUGGUGCCAAAAAAUUUCCCAAAUCAGUUAAAAAGGAAGAUCUUGAAAGUCAAAAUCAAAGGAAAUUUUGGAAAAAGAAGAUGGUUGCUGCAAAUAAAUUAUGCCUCAUCAAAAAUGCGUAUAAAACAAUGGUUCUCCGGAAAAAAUCAAAACUAGCUUCAGAAAAGCUGGCUAUUUGGAUUCAGCUGAAAGCGACCGACAUCAUCAGGAAGUAUGUCUCUAGAUGCCAUGGUCUUAUGCCCCGGAGGCAUCUAUCAAAGACUGUUCUUAUAAGAAUGCAACUGAGGAAGAAGAAAAUAGUUGCCAGGAAGAUAAAGGAAGCCAAGAGAGCAGCUGAAGCACUAGCGCUCAAGCUCUCGCGCCCCUCGUGUCCCCCGCGGGCCCCGUGCCCCCCGCGGGCCCUGUGCCCCCCUCGCGCCCCGUGCCCCCCGCGGGCCCUGUGCCCCCCUCGCGCCCCGUGCCCCCCGCGGGCCCUGUGCACCCCUCGCGCCCCGUGCCCCCCGCGGGCCCUGUGCACCCCUCGCGCUCCGUGCCCCCCGCGGGCCCUGUGCACCCCUCGCGCCCCGUGCCCCCCGCGGGCCCUGCGCGCCCCCUGCCCCCCACGGGCUCUGUGCUCCCCGCGCGCCCCGUGCCCCCCGCGGGCCCUGUGCCCCCCUCGUGCCCCGUGCCCCCCGCGAGCCCCGCGGGCCCCGUGCCCUCCGCGGGCCCCGUGCCCUCCGCGGGCCCCGUGCCUCCCGCGGGCUCCGUGCCCCCCGCGCGCUCCGUGCCCCCCGCGCGCCCCGUGCCUCCCACGCGCCCCGUGCCUCCCGCAGGCUCCGUGCCCCCCGCGGGCCCUGUGCCUCCCGCGGGUUUCGUGCCCCCCGCUCCCCCUGUGCGCCCCGUGCCCCCCGUGCGCCCCGGUUCUCCCAGCUGGUGCUGAAGAGCAGUUGAGCACUACUGCAGGACCUGCAGAGCUGCCUGCUCAUCUUUCCAAUGCUGGAGGAAUAAAGCGCUACAGGAAAACUUACUUCCGGAGAAGGAAGAGACUUCUUCCAGUGAGAGAAUAUGACCUGAGAAGCUUGAGUUCCACAACAAAUACCGACAGGAUGGUGACACGGCUUGCAAGCAAGUCGAAAAGCAAUGAGGCAAAAUAAAAGUGCGCGUCGCGUCGUAGCGGAUGGAGACCUCAGUCCUUCACUUGGAUGGAACACAUUUGAGACUUGAAUGCACAUACUUUUCCCAGCUUUGGUGGGGAAACUGACCUUACACUAUUUUGCUACAGAUAUUAUUUUUCGGAGAUUUUAUAUUCAUUUAAAAUUAGUGUUUAGGGUCCUUUUUUUUUCUUUUAAAGAUUUAAAAGCAACCUUUGUCCCAUUUAUGUAGAAGAGCUUCAUCUUAAUUUGUCUCAUAAUUUAGCAUACUAUAUAGAAUUCUGUUCCUUAAAUCAUGUCCUCUGAAAAUCUUUCGUGCCAAAAAGUUAUAACACUGGGAGAAUGAACAUAGCAAGCUUAUUAAUUUCAUCUUUUAAACAAUUGGGACCGAUAUCUAUUUACUUAGUUACCACACUUCCAAGUUGAAUAGCCAGUAGGUAUUCUAACUGGAUAAAUAAAAAGAGCGACAUUGUGCUAUCUCGGUUUUCAAGUAUCUCAGUUUUGUGAUCAAACGAUCACAAAAAUAUAUAACUUCUUUUUCUUUUAAAGUCAUUCCAUAAAAUAUUUAAUCCAGUUUUUUUAAGCACCUGGUGAAAGACAAAUUCUUUUUCAUUUAAAUUGGAUCUGCAGUUCUGUAGCUUUUCUCAUUUGCACACAUACCCACAGAUCUUUUUGUUAACAUUAUUAAGUCUUACGUGGAAAAGAUUUUGCAAAUGUGAAUAAGCUUUGAAGGUACCUUUUCUCCCUUUAUUAGUAAUCUAAAAUGAAAAUCCAGGUAAUUUUAUCAUCUUAUUUACUAAUAUUUUGGAUAACAUUUUUAAAAUGAUGAGCUUAAGCUGUUGGUUUGAUAAUGGCAUGUGGACUGGCCAUUAAUUGUCAUUAGUGAAAAACUUGACAUUUCAGAAAAAUUAAGUUAAACUAGUAACCUAACUAGAGACCUACUUUUCAAGUGAAAAACAGUUUAUACAUCAGUUUAUCUUAAACUAUCUAAUUAUAUUAAACUAGCUAGAUAGUUAAAGGUUAAGCCAAUUUGACAUUUUGUCUUAAACUACCUAAUUGAGUUUAACAGUUGAGAUAAAGAGCUUGGAUACACAGUGUGAACCUCUGUGGUACUUGAGUCUAUUCCUUUGAGGGUCAUUGACUGAGCUGGUGCAGAUGCAUCCCCUUUUCUUGUUCAGUCAAGACCUGGAUCUUUUUCUGUCAUUGAUGUUAUGAGGAAACACGAAGUUUCCCUUUACUGUGUAACUACUAUAUUUUAUUGAAACUAGAGUCAGUGUUAAGAUGUGUCUUGAUUUCAGAGAUAAAACUGUGUUACCUUAGAAUUAAUGAAAUAUCAACGUGGUUUUGUUCCAGGGGCCAUUAUUUAACCUGUGAGUCGUUAAUGGUGAUACUAUAGUCAUCUCUUUACUUCUAAAUAUAAGUGGUAAUUAUAUUGCAGAGUGGACAAAUGUGCUUUUUUAGUCGGCAAGUAACGUGUUUAAUUUUUUCAACCUUGCCUCUUUAUCUUACAAACAUUUUAAUUUCUUUAAAACAUUCUUAAUGGGCUGCUAGUUUUUUUUUAAAUCCUCAAAAUUUAAUUAAGGAAGAAAACUCUUUCACUGAUUAUGAAGUAAACAUGAAAAAGUAUUCUUUGUAGGUAUUAAUGUCUUUUGCAGCUCCCAGACACCAUUAAUAAACACUCUUGUAAUGGAGGUUAAAAGUGAGAGUUCAUACCUAAAUAACCUACCAUGUAAUUAUGCCAGAUUAUAUCUAUUGUGAUUAUGUCCCGCAAUGAAUAUUCAAAUAAUCAAAAUUUAAAGUUAAAAAAUUCAUAAUUUGGAAACUUGUCUAAGGACCUUUUAAAGGGAAAGCAAGGAAAAAAUUAAAAUGUAAAAUUAACAUCACCAAAAAUAUAAAAAUGUCUGGUACAGAAAUUAUGGCUUUGUUUAGCAUUUUGCAAAUAUUUACUAACUUCUUGUAAGGAUUAUUAUUUUAGACAAGAUUGGAAACUUACUUAAAAUGGUAAAACUUAAGUUAAAAGUGAAUUAUUUUAGAAUUUGAUAGGAUAUAAGAUGUGCCCCUUUGUCUACAUAAAUGUUGAUUUAAUUUUCAGGCUAGGUUGAAACAAUUGGUUAUUUUGUGUAGUCAAGAGUGCAUUAUAUUCUUUCAAUAGUAAUACAUCAAAUUACAACCAUAUCAUUUCAUUAAUCUUGUCCCUUUUAGUAUCUUGAAUAGAUUUUUAUUGUGAUUGUCCUGGUGAAACAGUGUGUGGACAAUAUUGUGUAAAGAGUGGUUUUUUUGCAUUUGUGCAUUUUAAAUUAUUUAUGUAACUAGGGCUCUGAGUAACACGUUUUGUUUUGUUUUGUUUUGUUUUGCUUAAAGAAAAGCUAUAUUUAAAUAUUCAAAUAAUUAUAUAUUUCCAUGUAAAACUAAUGUGAAGACCGAUGUAUUUUUUAUAAUGCAAUUUAAAGUGUAAACUUGUUUUGAUGUUAUCAAGAUAAAUUUAUUAAAUAUUGAAAUUUGUGUGUACUCUCUCCUAAUGUUAGAACCUUUUUCUGGAAAUACUUAAAAAGAAUCAGAGAGUAAUUAAGGCUGAAGUAAUUCUGUAAAAGGCCUGAGAGAUGAUAAAUAAGAGAAUGCAAAUGUUGAUGCUGGCGAGAAAAUUGUUUAACCAAAGAUACAUAGGUUGUACUCACAUAAGUAAUUAUUUCAAAAGAUUAAACAACCACUAAUUUGCCUGGAGGAGUGAUGGGGCAGCUGUUUGACUAGCACGCCUGCACUGAAAGGAUUGAGUUCAGGAGGCAGGAUCCAUACCACCAUCUGACGCCCUCUGGGAAAUGACCAACCCCAAAGCCUUCCAUCUCUCUCCGUGUCUUCUGGUGCCAUAGCAUCUGACAGUGAUGACAGGAUGGCAUGGACAGGUGCCUGAGAGAAUAGUGACAUAAGUGCUUCUGACCCUAGAAUUACUGACUUGGAACAUUUGUUGGUCAGGGAUUUUCGAGUGAGAAUUAUCUUCCUAUUUACAAUGAGAAGUUACUACUUUUUAGUAAAGGACUUUUAUGUUUAGAAACAUGGAAUUAUAGAAUUAUACACCAAAAUGCCAACUCAAGUAAAUUCAAAGUGAGGAGACAUAGCUUUUUUUCAUCUCUUACUCAGAUGAACUCAAAUAUUGAGGGAAAAAUUAGUUAAAACAUUUCCCUUUCUUCUUAUACUUCAUGUGUGUAAAGUUCUAAGUGUUUUAAGCCAUGGGCUUAAUUUUUCAAAAUUAUUUGCUUUAAAUAAAGAUUGAAUUCAGGAUAAAGUAUAGUUUGUUGCUGGAUCUUUAUAUUAUUUCUAGGUUUAUUUAUUUUAAUGACUUUUAAACCUGGAAAUCAGUUUAUUUCCCAGAUUUAUUAUUCCCAAAUUUAGUAUAUGUACAUAUUGAGGUGAUCUUGAGUACAGCACAGUGUCCCAAACUUUAACUGUAUCAUGUCCCUUGAUCUUUGUAUUUGGGAGCCUUGUUGGAUACUAUAACGAUCACUGUGAAGUGAGAACAUUGAGGCAUAGAGUAGUUAACCCCCUUCCUACCCGUAGCAAUGGGCCAUCUUCUAGUCUCUAUCCCCUUAGAGUCAUCUUCUCUGUUUACUUCAUAUAAGCAGUACCUUUAUGUUUCUCUCUCUCUCUCUCUCCUUUGUUUCAUUUAUCAUGAUUAGGUGUUUUGUUGUUGGUUAGUUGGUUUUGAGAGUCUCCUAGUUAUAGCAUGCUGAGCAUUUUGGGUUUUAAAAUUACUUUUUAGCAGUUAGUUUUAAAUCUACUUAAUUUUUUUUAUAUAUUUAUGCCUCUGAGAGUUGAAUCCAGGGCCUUGUGCAUGUGAAUCAAGUGCUCUGCUGCAAUGUACCUCCAGCUCUCAGUCUUGAAUGACACCACUACCAGAACCUUUCUCUCCUGCCAACAGACGGGAAAGCCAGCAGGUGCGAGGCUAGCUUUGUUCCCUGCAUGGUUCUUAUUAUCUGAUUCCUCCUCAGAUCCAAGACUGGACAGCAGAGUUGCCUUUUAGAGUGUUCCUGUGGUUCACUUGAGUGUUGUAUGCUCUCGUGGCCUUUGACUCCUCUUUACCUACCCAUCAUGCCACUCUUCCCUGUGCUCAGUUCUCAUUUUCACCAUCAACACAUCACCUCAUGCUCUCAAUCCUUUCACGGUGGAGUGCUUGCAGGUAACUGAGAACAAGAACCAACAAAUUGCUGGGUUUUAAUCCAGUUGUGCCACAGAGCCAGGAAGUGUGUUGGCAGCCUCUUGGUUAAGUUGCUCUCCUGCAUAUUUAGAUACUUACUGUCAAAAUCAGGAAGUCAGCAUUGAUCUCACCUAUCUACUCUGCAGACCGUAGUCAAAUUUUGAAAAUUAUGUCAAAAUGCCCCUUGUAGGUCCUGGAUUUGAUCCACAGUUAUGGACUUCAUAGAUACUUUGUUGUUUCCUCAGUGUGGAGCAGUUUCUCGCCUGUCUGUACUUGGUAGCAUGGCAUUUUGAAGGUACUGGUUUAUUUGUGGAAUAUCCUUGAGUUUGAGCUUGUCUGAUGUUUCUUUGUAAUCUAUGCAUUUUUGGAAUUUGAAAUUUGUGUUCUCAGUGUGUAUUAACAGAAGCCAUGUGAUGUCAGUUUGAAUAAAUGUGGUGAUAGAAU